UGGCAACGAUAGCGCGGUGGUCCCACCUGACCCCAUGCCGAACUCAGAAGUGAAACGCCGUAGCGCCGAUGGUAGUGUGGGGUCUCCCCAUGUGAGAGUAGGGCAUUGCCAGGCA
rnacentral:rRNA from 9 species